CUGAAGAAGAGAGGCCAUGGACAUGGAAGCAGAUCUUGGAUAAAGAUUGAUCAGAAUGGUGGCUCCAAGAUUUUGGAGCUUGAUAAGGCUACUAUAAUGAGACAUUGUUCCUUACCUGCACGGGAUCUACGACUAUUGGAUCCACUUUUCAUUUACCCUUCUACUAUUUUAGGACGGGAGAAAGCUAUUGUGGUCAGUCUUGAACAAAUUAGAUGUAUAAUCACAGCUGAUGAGGUUAUCCUAAUGAAUUCCUUAGAUGGAUGUGUUGUCCAAUAUGAGUCAGAAUUCUGCAAACGUCUCCAGACAAACAAAGAUCAAGCUGAGGACUUGCCAUUCGAAUUUAGAGCUCUAGAAUUGGCUUUGGAAUUAGCUUCAUGUCUCUUGAUGCUCAGGUAAAAGAACUGGAGAUGGAGAUUUAUCCAGUGUUGGAUGAACUAGCAUCAUCUAUUAAUACUCUUAAUCUGGAAUGUGUCCGCAGACUAAAAGGCCACCUUCUCACAUUGACUCAACGAGUCCAGAAGGUGCAUGAUGAGAUAGAACAUCUCAUGGAUGAUGAUGGUGACAUGGCUGAGAUGUAUCUGACGGAGAAAAAAGAGAGGGCAGAAGCUUGUGCACUUGGCGACUUGUAUUUUCAAAAUAAUAUCUCGGGUGAGAC
rnacentral:misc_RNA from 1 species